CGGUUUGGAGUUUUAAAGGCGACCUGCCCACUGAAAAUUGAAGGGCGCGGUAUUUUGACCGUGCAAGGUAGCAUAAUCAUUAGUCUUUUAAUUGAAGGCUUGUAUGAAUGGUUUGACGAGAUAUUAGCUGUCUCAUUAUAAUGUUAUGGAAUUUAACUUUUGAGUGAAAAGGCUUAAAUAUUGAAGGAGGACGAGAAGACCCUAUAGAGCUUUAUAAAUUUUCAUAGUUAUCUAUAUUUGGUAGUUUUUGAGAUAGUUUUGUAAUUUAUUAUGUUGGGGUGACAUAAAGAAAAAUUUAACUCUUUAAUAAAAGAUACAUUAAUUUAUGAUAGUUAUGAUCCAUUAAUAUUGAUUAUAAGAUUAAGUUACCUUAGGGAUAACAGCGUAAUUUUUUUUGAGAGUUCUUAUCAAUAGGAAAGAUUGCGACCUCGAUGUUGGAUUAAGGGAAAUUAUUAGAUGCAGUAGUUAAAAUAAUAAGUCUGUUCGACUUUUAAAUCCUUACGUGAUCUGAGUUCAGACCGGACCGGUCGCCUGUUAAAAAAAAAAUAUUUUUUUUUAAAACGGGGGCCGGGGCUUUUUUUAAAAAAAAAA
rnacentral:rRNA from 1 species